GAAAUGCGAUAAGUAAUGUGAAUUGCAGAAUUCAGUGAAUCAUCGAAUCUUUGAACGCACCUUGCGCUCCUUGGUAUUCCUUGGAGCAUGCCUGUUUGAGUAUCAUGAAAUCUUCAAAGUAAAUCUAUUGUUAACUCAAUUGGUUUCUACUUUGGUAUUGGAGGUCUUUGCAGCUUCACACCUGCUCCUCUUUGUUCAUUAGCUGGAUCUCAGUGUUAUGCUUGGUUCCACUCGGCGUGAUAAGUUAUCUAUCGCUGAGGACACUGUAAAAGGUGGCCAAGUUAAAUGCAGAUGAACCGCUUCUAAUAGUCCAUUGACUUGGACAAUACUUUUAUGAUCUGAUCUCAAAUCAGGUAGGACUACCCGCUGAACUUAAGC
rnacentral:misc_RNA from 1 species